UACGGAGGGUGCAGGCGUUAUCCGGAUUCACUGGGUUUAAAGGGUGCGUAGGUGGGCUGGUAAGUCAGUGGUGAAAUCUCCAGGCUUAACUUGGAAACUGCCAUUGAUACUAUCAGUCUUGAAUACCGUGGAGGUCAGCGGAAUAUGUCAUGUAGCGGUGAAAUGCUUAGAUAUGACAUAGAACACCAAUUGCGAAGGCAGCUGGCUACACGAAUAUUGACACUGAUGCACGAAAGCGUGGGGAUCAAACAGG
rnacentral:rRNA from 1 species